rnacentral:rRNA from 1 species
UACAGAGGGUGCAAGCGUUGUUCGGAAUUAUUGGACGUAAAGCGCGUGUAGGCGGCUUUGCAAGUCGGGUGUGAAAGCCCUCAGCUCAACUGAGGAAGUGCGCCCGAAACUGCAGAGCUUGAGUACCGGAGAGGAUGGCGGAAUUCCCCAAGUAGAGGUGAAAUUCGUAGAUAUGGGGAGGAACACCGGUGGCGAAGGCGGCCAUCUGGACGGAUACUGACGCUGAGACGCGAAAGCGUGGGGAGCAAACAGG